AAUAGAUACCCUGGUAGUCCACGCCGUAAACGAUGAGUGCUAAGUGUUGGGGGGUUUCCGCCCCUCAGUGCUGCAGCUAACGCAUUAAGCACUCCGCCUGGGGAGUACGGUCGCAAGACUGAAACUCAAAGGAAUUGACGGGGGCCCGCACAAGCGGUGGAGCAUGUGGUUUAAUUCGAAGCAACGCGAAGAACCUUACCAGGUCUUGACAUCCCAGUGACCACUAUGGAGACAUAGUUUCCCCUUCGGGGGCAACGGUGACAGGUGGUGCAUGGUUGUCGUCAGCUCGUGUCGUGAGAUGUUGGGUUAAGUCCCGCAACGAGCGCAACCCUUAUUCUUAGUUGCCAUCAUUCAGUUGGGCACUCUAAGGAGACUGCCGGUGAUAAACCGGAGGAAGGUGGGGAUGACGUCAAAUCAUCAUGCCCCUUAUGACCUGGGCUACACACGUGCUACAAUGGACGGUACAAACGGUUGCCAACCCGCGAGGGGGAGCUAAUCCGAUAAAACCGUUCUCAGUUCGGAUUGUAGGCUGCAACUCGCCUAC
rnacentral:rRNA from 1 species